GUGAUGGCUGCAGGUCGCCUGAGUUCCCACCCCAGCCACGUGCGGCUUCUGUGAUGACAGAGCUGGGACCUUCUCAGAAACUGAGGCAGUGCAAAGGCCCCCACUUCAACCUGUAAUUCUUUGGAUCAAAUCAGAAAGAUGUCAAACAUAUUGCUCAGAGGUCUUGCUAAAUUGCUGAAGCUGAUCUUGAACUUUAAUCCUCCUGCCUCAUCCUGUUGAGUUGCUAGAAUUACAAACAUGCACCAUCUGGCCCA